CUCUCUUCCUCAGAGCAUCAGCAUCGCUUGGGAUGGUUGGAAAUGCGGAGCUCUCUGUCCCUCUCCAUAUCAGAAUUUACUUCGUAACAAGAGCCCUGGGGUAUCUGUAAUGACCUUGAAACACCACCGACAAGGCCCUUUCUUCUCUCUUUGCCGUUAGCUCUUUCUGCGCUUAUCCACAUCCCCUUGGCACACAUGUAUUCACGUCUGCCAGGCUGUCCUCCAACUACCGACACCUACAACUCUUGGCUUGGGACCUUCCUACGGUAACAGAUUCCGCUAUGCUCUUUCACCAGCAGACCAUAAACGCUGAGAAUUAUUCUAACCUGGGAGCAGCCUUCAGCCAAGGAUUGAUUGGCUUUUUCACUCAGCACAUUUCCUUGGAGAUACAGCCAAGUCCUUAUAUCACUCAAUAGCCGUUUCCUUUUUGUUGCCUGGUAGUACUCCAUAUAUGGAAGGAAUAUGGAGUUGGCUUAACCAUUCACCUAGUGAAGAAUGCUGGGAGCUGUUUCCCGUUUGGGGAUAUUGCAGAUAAAACUUGUGUGAACAUUUGCAUAUGGAUCUUUGUGUGAACAUAAAUUUUAUCUCUCUGGGACCAAAGCCCAAGAAGGCAAUUGCUGUGUUAUUCAGUCUUUGCAUGUAUCACGGUGCCAGCUUUUGGAUGCAUCGUCAGUGCUGACCCAGAAGGGUUUGGACUUUGCUUCAUAGCAAUGGGAAUGUGUUCACAAACUUCAGAGCAGAUACGAUGCAAUCAAAGUAUUGCUCUAUGACAGGUGAUAAUCACAUGCAAUCUGGAAACUAAAUUGAACGUGAGGCAUCUGAGCCACCGCUGCAAUCACGAGUAGAAGGAUGAAGGACAUGACCCAGAUGAGCCUCAGUGCGAGUGGACAGGAGAAACAGAUCCAAGGGGCAAAGUUCUUUGGAAUCUCAUAGAGUUCAUUCCCCAGCCGGAAAAGGAUACCCUUGGAAAAUACAACCUUUGCACUUCCUCAAACCCCCAGAGGAUAUUCGAGGAGAAAUAAAAACAAAGCAGAAUGGAAAACGAGUUGUGCUUACAUUUAUUUUUAAUUAAUGUGUCCCUAUAACAUUAAAAACAAUUCCUUGUAAACAAAACUCUGCCUUAAAUAAGAGCCGAGAGAAAAAUCUCCACCUCAUUUCCUGUCUGCAGCCUCUGUGUACUGCUUUUAAUAAAAUAAAACAUGAUGUGCUUCUGUGGGUAAAUUAUGAUUUUCCCCUAAUAUAUUCUAAUUCAGACUAUUUUCAGAGAGCCUGAUCUGGAAAUUGCUCCCAUAUCUAUAAAAAGCACAUGUAUUUUGAGAAAUAAAAGAUGAGAAACAAGAAGGAAAAAGAUACUUUUAAAAAAGUGCUGCAGCCUGUCUGGUUACAAUUUGAGCCAAGAAUUUGAUGUCCUGAGAAAAUAAUUCCCUCCAACAGUUUUAGAAAAAGAAGAACCCAGAUAAAAAUAAGCCUGAAGCAAAUGGAGGCUGUACAAUAAUCCACCCCCCCAAAAAAAUCUAAUUAAAAAUAUAUAUUGUCUCACCUGCACAUGUUAUUUUUGUUACCUUAAAGACAAAUUAUUAUUAAAUCUUUUCAAAUAAUUAUCCCAUUGUUCACAUAGCUCCCUAUCUCUUUGUGGUUUCUUAUUUCAGAG
rnacentral:lncRNA from 1 species